rnacentral:rRNA from 1 species
AUUGAACGCUGGCGGCAUGCUUUACACAUGCAAGUCGAACGGUAACAGGCCGCAAGGUCCUGACGAGUGGCGGACGGGUGAGGAAUGCAUCGGAACGUGCCCCGGCGUGGGGGAUAGCGCAACGAACGCGGCGCUAAUACCGCAUACGAACUAUGGAUGAAAGCGGGGGACCGUAAGGCCUGGCGCGCUUGGAGCGGCAGAUGUCAGAUUAGGUAGUUGGUGGGGUAAAGGCUCACCAAGCCAACGAUCUGUAGCUGGUCUGAGAGGACGACCAGCCACACUGGGACUGAGACACGGCCCAGACUCCUACGGGAGGCAGCAGUGGGGAAUUUUGGACAAUGGGCGCAAGCCUGAUCCAGCAAUGCCGCGUGCAGGAAGAAGGCCUUCGGGUUGUAAACUGCUUUUGUACGGAACGAAAAGGCUCUGGUUAAUACCUGGGGCUCAUGACGGUACCGUAAGAAUAAGCACCGGCUAACUACGUGCCAGCAGCCGCGGUAACAC